AGUAAGUUUUGCAACAGUUGCCUGCUGGGAUACUCAGCUGCUCCUUUCUCUGCAGCUCGCAGGGAGUUGACCCCCCUCUGCCCCUCUCCAGGGCUGGAAAUACCUCUCAGCAGCCUCCCUCCUCCAAUCCAGAAUGAGAUACUGCUCCAGAAAUGUGAUGAGUGUUUCUCUUCCCUUCCAGUCUCUAGCUGCAGCCCUGCCGGCCCUCCAUGCUGACAGUCCCUGCUUGACACCACAGGGAGCUGGACCCAGACUCUGUGCUGGCGAUAUAAAAAAAAAACUCACAAGGUAUGCACUGAAUCAAUUGGAUUCUCCACUUACCAUCACCAAGAUUGGUUUGAAGAGCAUAAUGAGGAAAUCCUAGCACUUAUCCACUGAAAGAGAACUGCAUUCUGCAGCUGGCAAAAUGCACCCUCCAUCCAACAAGAAUGAGAGGCUUACCACUGGCUUAAAGCUGUAGUUCAGAGGAAGUUACCGGACAUCAAGAACCAGUAGUGGCAAGUGAAGGCCAGGGAUAUCCACAGUUUUGCUGAUCCACGUGACAUAAGAAGCUUCUUUCAAGCAAUAAAAGCCAUCCACGGGCCACAUUCCAAUGGCCCAAUCCCCUUGUAGUCCCAGGACAGCUCCACCCUUCUGAUAUAUUCAUCAAACAGUGCUGGAAGAAGUACUUCAAGAUUCUACUCAAUCGUAAAUCUGAGGUUUCAACUGCCACCAUCAAGUCCAUCCCUCAGCACCCAGUAAUAGAAUCUCUUGCUGAUCCACUGUCCUUCAAGGAAGUCUUGGUGCCUAUCACUUUAACAGCUUUGAGUGACAGCAGGGCAGCCAGCAGGUACAAGCCAUCCCUGAUGAGGCAGUCACUUGACCUGGUAAGGGCCUUGUGAUUGGAGGGGAGAACAUAGCAGACUCCAUUUAAGUUCAGGGCUGAGCCAGCCAUCCACUGCUGGCGGCCAUCAGGACAACAUAUGGUGGAUUGGCUAUUCAGGAAAAACCUUGGAGGUAAGGGCAGGAUCUACGGGGAUAGUAGGAGGCUCUUGAUCCUGGGUAUGACUUGAAACUGCACCCUGCUGAAGAAGGGUGGCCUGGUGGGACUCCCUGUGGUGGGAAAGUUCUCCAGAAAUGCCAAGCCAGUUGCCUUCCUACUGAAGGGCGGGUAGGAGUGCCUUAAAACCCCAGCUUCCACAUCCUGGUGGGUUACCUGGACUUAGGGAUAGGCAUGGGGACCAGGCAUGCCUUCGGGCACCUGAGCCCCACAGGGGUGUAAGACCCCAGAGGCCCCAGAGAGGUCCCAGAUAGAGUGGGCAGUAGAGAGUGGCCCCAGGAAAGGGGGGCAGAAAAGGCCUAGGUGCCCAGUGAAGGGCUAGGGGCAGAGUCAGCUCAUUGUUUGGUAAAUCAGCUGGUUACCAUUCAGACAAGGGUUGCAAGAGGGCCCAAGAAGCUGCACACCGGCCAGCCAAAGAGUGGGAGUAGGCAAGCCUGAUGGCCUACAUGUUCACUCAAGGGAGCAGGGCAGAUUGGGUGUGGCCCAGUGAGGGGCAGUAUGCAAGAGGCCAGGUGAGAGAGGGUGGAGUGAAAGAGACCCCAGUGAGAGAGGGGCAGUAUGAGUGAGGCCCAGAACAGGGCAGUGUGUGAGAGGCCUAAAAGUGGAGCGAGUUUGGUCUGGCCUUGAUCUGGAGUGUAAUAAUUAUCUGGAUGCCAUCUGCGAGGCAUGGGCCACAGUGUAGGGAAGGUAUGGAGCUGUGGAUAGUGCCCCCUGGCAUAGGGACAGUGAAAUGGGCAGCCUCCCGCUUAUUAUAUCAAAUAGUACAUCAAGUUGUGGCAGGUAAGAUGGGGCAGACUGCCCUAGACAGCUGAGCAGGCCAACAUGAGACUCGGCCCUGGGGUGGUCACACAUGCCAUCACUCAGACCAAGAACAAUAAGGCCUUUGAAGAGGACCAGAUGGUAUUCCCACAGAGUCUUCAAAUCUGAUGGAACAGCACUAGUGCAAAAAUUCACCAACUUCUCAUCAAAAUAUGGGUUAACAAACAAGCUCCACCUGACUUUAAAAAUGCCAACAUUGUGACCAUCUUCAAGAAAGAGGGCAAGUCAAUGUGUGGGAACUAACAAGGUACUGCCCUCCUCUCCAUUGCUGGGAAGAUUCUUACUCGUAUCCUUCUGAAUUGCCUCCUCCCCCUUGCCAAAGAGGUCCUUCCAGAAUCCCAGUGUGGCUUUAGACCAUAAUGGGGUACCACCGACAUGAUUUUUGUUGCAUGACAGACCCAGGAAAAGUGUAGAGAGUAGCACUAGGAGCUAUUUAUGGCAUUCAUUGACCUAACCCAUGCCUUCGAUUCCAUCACUUGAGAAGCUUUAUAGAAGGUAGUGGCUAGAUUUGGUUGUUCACUGAAGUUCAUCAGCAUCCUCAGGCUACUCCAUGAUGGGAUGACCACCACAGUCCUUUGCAAUGGAUCAGAGUCAGACCCAUUUACCAUCUGAACUGGCGUCAAGCAGAGCUGUGUCAUCACUCUAACCCUUUUCUCCAUCUAUCUUGCUAUGAUUUUGAUUCUCAUCCAUGACCACCUUCCUCCCAGAACUGGGGUUAAGUAUUGAACGGAUGGUCAGCUUUUCAACCUGCGGUGCCUUCACAGCAAAAUGAAAGUUACCAAGACUAGUAUCACCAACCUUCAGUUUGCUGAUAACUGUGUUAUCCUUGCACACACUGAGAUGGAUCUGCAAUCCACCCUUGACCAUUUUUCAGGUGCCUAUCAUAGCCUGGGACUCUCCCUUAAUAUUGGUAUGACCAAGGUGCUCCAUCAGUCUGCCCCAGCACAAGCUUUCCUCCUCCCCCAUAAAACUACCAUUGGUGGAGAACCCCUGGAAACAUCCAACAUCCCCAUACCUUGGCAGACACCUCUCCCGUCAGUCAGUCUUGAUGAAAAAAUCAAACAUAGGACUUGCUGUGCCAGCAUAUCCUUUGGAAAGAUGCUUCACUGUUUCUUUGCCGACUGAGAUCUGCAGAUGGAAGCCAAAAAUCCUGAUCUACAAUGUGGUGGUUAUCCCCAUGCUCCUCUAUGGGUGAGAGACGUGGGUAACAUAUCAAAGCCACCUUAAGCACCUAGAAUGGCUCCGUCAGUGUUGCCUCAGGAAGAUCCUUCACAUUAGAUGGGAAUACUACUGUGCCAAUGCCAACAUCUUCUCUGCAGCUAGCUUAACCAGCAUUGAGGCAAAGAUCAUAAAACAUUAACUCUGUUGUGCUGGCCACUGUGUGCAGAUGGCUGACACUUGUCUCCUGAAGCAAGUCCUCUUCUCUCAACUUAGGCAUGGUAAGAGGACCCACAGAGGACAAAGGACCCACAGAGGACCCACUACAAAAACACCCUGAAAACAUACCUUAAGAAGGGUGUCAUCAACCUUACAAACUGGAAAGUACUGGCUGGUAACACGUCUCAAUGGCACUGUACCAUAUAUCAAGCUACAGCCCACUUUGAAGAGAAUCGUCUUGUUCAGGAAGCUGAGAAACAGCAAAGGAGGAAGGAAAGCAUACAACAUGCUGGCCAGCAGCUGUGUCCCCAUCAUAUCUGUGGAAAAACUUGCAGAGCAUGGAUUGGACUCCUCAGCCACCUUCAAACUUAGCUGUAAUUCCCCCCAACCCCCACCCUAGUAGCAGCAUCCUCAUAUAGAGGGAUAGCUGAAGAGGGAGAAGAUAACAACCCCUUAAAUUUGUUGUCCUUACACAGUCUACUGGAGUAAGUAUAAACUGGAAAACAUAUACUACAGUAAAGUAGUCAUCUUCAAAACAUUAUAGUUUACCAACAGUUACUACACAUUGGCAUGUGUAAUAGCACGUGACAUGUAGCAAUAUAAAUGAGACGAACCAGAAUUUGAACCAAAAUUAAAUGUUACUUAAUUUUUCCAUACCUACCUAAAGCACAGUAGAAAUAACCAGACAAUGUGAUCAUUUUAUACAUAAAUCUUCAGCAAAAUUGACUAUUGGCUAUUGUGAAAGUUUUUAUACUUUCACAAUAGCACUACAGAGAUACAAUAUGUGAGCAGAUUCUGAAUCUGUAACACUCCUCAGAAAUAAGUAAAAAUGAUGUCUGAACUUCCAAAGAUGAGAACUGGACUGUAAUGUGGCAUUAGGGCCUGUUGUCGGAACCUUUUAAAGGAUUGAUUCCUAUAUGGUGAAACACUUGGAACAGUUAGGGAAUGACCAGUUACAGCAUCUUUCAUUUGAAAGAAAUAUUACAAAGAAAUGUUUGUAAAGUAGAAUACCAUUUCAUAGGAUGGUGCUAAUGUUUAGAACAGUGUUUCCCAACCUUUUUUAUCCCAUGGCACACUUACAUGGCCUUUUCUAUCCCAUGGCACACUGGCCAGACACAAAGCAGGGGAGGGAGGGAAGGAGGAUGGUACGCAGGGCUGACCAGUGUGUGGUGGCAGCACUGGCUGGAGCCAUGCUCCGCCAUGAGCCAUGACCCCCCAAGAUUCUACGGCACACCUGGUGAUGUCUGACAGCACGCCAGUAUGCCAUGGCACACCAGUUGGGAAAGGCUGGUUUAAAACAUGCUUUCUUACUGCUAAGAUUCAUCAGUUGUAAAAUGUUGUUAUAUAUUUAUGCCUUUUUUUCCCAUUUUGAUAUAUUUACUUUUGGUCUGAUUUUCUAAAGAAAGAAACAAUUAAAGUGUAUGGCAAAGAAAGUUUCUUUCCACUGAAUGGAUAAUCUGGGUUCUGAGAUAGAAGAAUUGUAGACUUUUAGCAUUAUGGGUAAUUUCAUUUUUCAAAUCAGAAUUACCACUUCGUUACAAAAUGGCGAGAUUUAUGCAACAAUUAUUCAGUUGGAUUAUUUCAGAUUUCACAAUUCACUUAUAUGCACUCCUGUUAAUUUAUUUAAUUAAAUGUUAGUUUUGUAAUUCA